UACGGAGGGUGCAAGCGUUGCUCGGAAUUAUUGGGCGUAAAGGGCAAGUAGGUGGUCUCAUUUGUCUGGGGUGAAAGCCUUGAGCUUAACUCAAGAAGUGCCUCAGAAACGGUGAGACUCGAGUCCUGGAGAGGGUCGUGGAAUACCCGGUGUAGCGGUGAAAUGCGUAGAGAUCGGGUGGAACACCAGAGGCGAAGGCGGCGACCUGGACAGGCACUGACACUCAACUGCGAAAGCGUGGGGAGCAAACAGG
rnacentral:rRNA from 1 species